GAAGUUAACGGUGAUGGAUCUCUUUGCGACGACUUUAUCGCCAGAGUUUCGGAUCGCUUUCUUCUGGCGCGUUGUCUUGAGCCGCCAUCAGGGGUAUAUGGUAAUCAUGUUUGUUCUACUGUUCUAGAUUCGUGCGUAUUUCGUUGGAAUGCUUCCUUGUGCCUGUAGUUAUGGAAUGCGUAUUUCAUCAGAUUUCUGUACAGCUUCUUGGGCAGCUUUAAACUAUCGGACAACAAAUUUCCAUGGCCAAAUUAAGAACAACGAUGCCUCGCGUCAAAUCUCGUGCCAGGCCUUGAAUUACCAAGAACUUUUGUUCCUAUCUCUGGAGGCGCUCAUGAAGACUCAAAAUGAUGAUGUCCGAUUGAAAUAUGUAGGAAAGCUCCAAUGACUCGGAUCUUUCUUCUUGUCAGUUCACUGUUUUGUUGUUACUAUAUGUAAGUUCAUUACAUGAUGAUAGGUAACACACUUUUGUUUCUUCUUUGUUGUAUCCUCUUUUUGGUAUAUAUUUGUUGUCUAUGUACCUCUUUGCCAGACUUGUUGAUGAGAAGAUGGUUUAGCAUGUUCCAGUAUAUUCUUGUCAGCAAAAGUGGCUUACUAUGUGGAUACCAUGACCCAUUUAUGGUCACACAAAUGGUGAAUAUAUAUGGGUUUUGUAGGUCUGUUGCUGAUGCUAGUUGCGACACUUCCUAUGGUUCAGAAGUUGAGAGAAUACUGUUCCAAUUGGUGACUGAAAGUGAAUGGGAUAUGCAUUCUUCAAGGAUUCAUAGACCAUCAUUAGUAUGGUUGUUUAAGCAAGAGAAAAUCAGAAAUCCAUUAUGUUAUCAGGUUUUGAAAAUAUGCCAAAUCCAUUAUGAACUUUUGCUGUUUUACUUAAACGCUCAUGUUUAAUAAUUUAGUGAUAACACAUAUUAUAUUUAGCACUUGGGUAGUAGGCAAAUCAGUUGAGAUCUCCAAAAUAUGCAUGUUGGUAAAUGCAUUAAGAUCUUUUAAAUUCAUAUUUGAUAAUUAGCGGUACCAAGUAUUCUAGACUUCCAUUAUGAACUCGUAAAGAAAAUGACCAAUAAAGUGAUGCGUUAGGCUUACAGCUAAUUGACUUUCAAAUGUAAACUUACGAAUGGUACGAGCGAAUGGCCACGAGAUGAUACGAAAAAAAUUGUACUUUGUUGUUAGUGCUCUGUGUGUUAUCUCUGUUUAUUUCUUCUUUUGACUUAUAGGUACGAAGGGCUGUGUGGUUUAUCCACGAACUUUGAUUUAACUUAUCUACCCAUAUCGCAAUCACGUUAAUUUUCUUGAAGGGAUUUCUAGCUUUCAUUUGUUAGAAUUGUUAGUGUGAAUAUGUGCAGUCUUGAUGCGAAGUGAUUGCCAUAUGAAUGCAAUUCUUGAUUUAAAUGCAUUUUUGUUUUACCGGGGUGGUUUUGAUAUGAUAUGCAGUGGGAGGGAUAAGAUUGAAACUUCAGAUCAGGUGAAAUUCUUCCUUCCCAGAAUUUUCAUUUUGAGACGUCUUAGUUGUAGUCAAGGCAUUAAUUGACAGUUCGGUUCUAUUUUUAGUUUAAGCAAGCUGAAGAAACUGUUCAGAAACUUGAUCUUGAUUCCAACACAAAUGCCUGUCUCCUCGCUGAAAACUUUAGUUGGACGGCUUAUCGAUCGUGUUUCUUCUCACAUCAUACUGGAGUGUGCUUUGCAAACUCAUCCGAAUAUUACUAUUAUCGGAGAAGAGGUUGCGGCUAAGAAGCUUACCUUGAAAAGCGUUACAGACUACAUUGUUGAUGUAAUUAGUAGACGUUCUGAACUUGGUUAUUAAUUAUAGUGUUGUACUUAUUCCCGAGGGUCUGAUUGACUUCAUUUCGGAGGUAUUUCUCUUGUUAUUGUAACUAAUUAUGUUUAUUUCUUUUGAUUGUAUGCUCAAUAUCCACUAAACCCAAGAUUCUCGGGAUCAAUAUGUCAUUCUUGAACUGAUUAUUUAUAGCCCGCUUUCUACGGGUGCAGCAGCUUAUUUCGAAACUCAAUGAAAUUCUUGCCCAUGAUAUUAUAGAUGAGGAUAGGUUAUGGAAAAAGAAAUAUUAUAGAUGAGGAUAGGUUAUGGAAAAAGAAACUUACUACUCAAUCUCAUCACCUUUUUGAAUUUUUCCCACUAGCAAUCCAAGAACAAUUAUUGCUUGAAAGAGAUCCACACGGAAAUGUCCAGGUAAUUGCCUUUUCAUUUUGUUUUAUACAUGUCUUUCCAUGAAACUGAGUUGGAAAAGAGAAGGCAAGAAGGUGCAUAUAAUGGGCGGCCAAUUCAAGGGGUAGUCACAUUUCUUUGGGUACUUAUUCUAUUCGUGCUUGAACUUUUACUAUUUUACUUAAACGCUCCUAUUUAAUAAUUUAGUGAUAACAUAUAUUAUUUAGCACUUGGGU